UGCUUGGAAAACACAAAGAGACUUGAUCUUCAGUGCCUCAACUGAGGUGAGAAACAUCAUGCGGAUCCGUUGCUUCCACUCCAGUUGUCACCUGUUCUAGACAGCAGUGGCUCUCCCCGUGGAAGUGUCAUCCAGCAUACGUGUGGAUUCAUUUUGCCCAGGUAAGAGACUUCAUCCUGGGCUGAAUGAUAAGUUAUGGUUGAAUAUAAGCCAUGCAUAUAUUUUACAGAACCCAAAACAACUGGGCACCUAAAUGUAUUAGUGAGAAGUAUGUAUCAAGAGAAUGCAGAAGCAACGAAAUAAAAGACCUUUUCCAAAUUGAAAAUAAAAGUGAAUGUGAACUUAGUAUAGUAAUCACUAGAGACUAGGAAGGGUUAGAAGGUUAGAAGGGGACAGAAAGAAGUGGAAAUGGAAUAUUGAAACAUAAGUAGAAAUACUGGUUUUCGGUAUUCCACAGUACAAUGGGGUGACUACAGUUCACAAUGAUGUACUACAUCCUGGAUAAAACUGGAAGGGAU